GUCUACGGCCAUGCCACUCUGAACAAACCUGAUCCCGUCUGAUCUCGGAAGCUAAGCAGGGUCGGGCCUGGUUAGUAUUUGGAUGGGAGACCACCUAGGAAGACCAGGUGCUGUAGACA
rnacentral:rRNA from 1 species